CUGGUUGAUCCUGCCAGUAGUCAUAUACUUGUCUCAGAGAUUAAGCCGUGCAUGUCUAAGUACAUACCUUAAAACGGUGAAACUGCGAAUGGCUCAUUAAAUCAGCUGUGGUUCCUUAGAUCAUGUAUACUACACGGAUAACUGUAGUAAUUCUAGAGCUAAUACAUGUGGUGACGCCUAUAUAGGUAGAACCAAAAGAAUGUUCCAAUGUCGUCAGAGAGAACAUGUUCCAAAAUGGUUAUUAAAAAACAUAGAAAAUCCUAAUGCAAUUAAUCUGAAUAGAAAUCCAUCAUCCAUUGCAAAGCAUGUCACGUCACAAAAUCAAUAUUAAUGAUUGUUUCACACUUACUUCACAUAACUCUAAUUCAAGGUUGGUUGUGGUGAGAGCAGGCUGCUAGCCAAUUGGUAGACAUUAAUCUAGGCUGAUUCAACAACCAAUCACAGCAGACUUAGACGUGGGCAAAUAUGAUUCGCAGAUAAAUGGCUCUACUUUCCGAGAAAUAUCGAAAACAACCAAUUAGAAGAGUGUGUU
rnacentral:ncRNA from 1 species